AUGUACCACUCGUACACUGCGGUUCCUGUGCGCCGUCCGCACCCACCUGACGACUGCUCGCGACAUUUUGUUAGCC
rnacentral:sRNA from 14 species